rnacentral:rRNA from 1 species
UGGGGAAUAUUGCACAAUGGGCGCAAGCCUGAUCCAGCCAUGCCGCGUGUAUGAAGAAGGCCUUCGGGUUGUAAAGUACUUUCAGCGGGGAGGAAGGGAGUAAAGUUAAUACCUUUGCUCAUUGACGUUACCCGCAGAAGAAGCACCGGCUAACUCCGUGCCAGCAGCCGCGGUAAUACGGAGGGUGCAAGCGUUAAUCGGAAUUACUGGGCGUAAAGCGCACGCAGGCGGUUGAUUGAGUCAGAUGUGAAAUCCCCGGGCUUAACCCGGGAAUUGCAUCUGAUACUGGUCAGCUAGAGUCUUGUAGAGGGGGGUAGAAUUCCAGGUGUAGCGGUGAAAUGCGUAGAGAUCUGGAGGAAUACCGGUGGCGAAGGCGGCCCCCUGGACGAAGACUGACGCUCAGGUGCGAAAGCGUGGGGAGCAAACAGG